rnacentral:rRNA from 1 species
GUACGGAAGGCGAGAAUAUUGGACAAUGGGCGCAAGCCUGAUCCAGCAAUGCCGCGUGGGUGAAGAAGGUCUUCGGAUCGUAAAGCCCUUUCGACAGGGACGAUGAUGACGGUACCUGUAGAAGAAGCCCCGGCUAACCUCGUGCCAGCAGCCGCGGUAAUACGAAGGGGGCUAGCGUUACUCGGGAUUACUGGGCGUAAAGGGCGCGUAGGCGGCUCUGUUAGUCAGGCGUGAAAUUCCUGGGCUUAACCUGGGGACUGCGCUUGAUACUGCAGGGCUUGAGGCCGAGAGAGGGUGGUGGAAUUCCCAGUGUAGAGGUGAAAUUCGUAGAUAUUGGGAAGAACACCGGUGGCGAAGGCGACCACCUGGCUCGGUUCUGACGCUGAGGCGCGACAGCGUGGGGAGCAAACAGGAUUAGAUACCCCGGUAGA